rnacentral:lncRNA from 1 species
GUCAAACUGAUCAGACAGUGUCAUACUCACUAUAGUGUCUGUCUCUGAAGAGAUUAAAGAUAGACCAUGCACUGUAAAUGACUGUAAACUAAGACUGUAGACUGGAGUUUACCUGUGAACAACCAGUGCCAUCAUAAAACUGUCACAUUUUUGCAUUGUAUAAUGAUGAACCAUUUCUUUUUUCCUCCAAUAACUACAUCCACAGAAGUGGGAUAUUUUAUUACAAAAUUGCUGGACGUGUGGUGAUAUAACCUACAACUAUAGUGGCUAAAGAACAUGUGAAUCCUGAGGAUGGGACCAGAAGGACAAUGCUGCUUGGGCAAAGGCAUCCCAUCCCUUCCCCGGUGGUCUGCAGUCAUCUCAUCUUUCAUGGAACACAAGGGGCAGGAAGUAUCCACGGGGACCCAACAGAUGCAAGGGAAAGCCACAAAAUGGCCUCCGCCUGAGCCGAGCCAUGUGGCUUCUGCGAUUAUGGAGGAAGCGGAUGCCGAUGCAAAAAGAUCAAAACCCCUGUGCGCAAGAAACAAGUGUCCCACUCCCCGGCAGCCGAGCAGGAGGGAGGAAGAGUCGCUCAACAGCAUGUCGGUUGCAGCUCAGACGUGUCUCUCAGCAAAGGAGAUUUUGAAAAAGAAGAAACCACAUUUGAAGAGCAGGGGGUGGGUCUGAUGGAGAGUGUACGGUCACUGCGCGUCCACCUACACCUGCAACCUGCACCCAUUGGACGCUACUGGCUGUCAAUUGUAAAGUUACUACACCCUAAUGCAUACUGCGCUUUAUUGUCUAUUUUACUAUGAAUGAAUCAUUAAGUAUUGGAAAAGACUUGAAACUAAAGUUUUUGAUCAUAAACUCCUCAGGAAAAUGUUGACAUUAUGAGUAAUUUUCUCAUAGACUUCAAUAGAAACUGAAUUAUUUUAGCAACCAGUGGAGUCGCCCUCUGCUGGAGUGCCACAGUGAUGUGUAGUUAUGUGGAUGUAGCCUUAGACUGAUCAAGUCAAUCAGUGGACCUCAACCCAGGAGAGCAACAUUUCACCUCCUGAAGAGGAGACUGAAGUGAACCCCACAAACAAACAAGAACUGAAACAGGCUUCAGUAAAAGGCUGGAAAAGCUUCACAAAUGAAGAACUCCACAGUAAAUUUUGUUACUUUGGAUUCCUUAACUUUUGCUCACCUAAAAAAUGGGGUGGUCUGAUACUAUAUUGUCUUGUGUCCCUUGUCCCUUGCAAUAGUUUUUCAGGGAACUGUAGGUUCCCAUUGACAGGCUUAUACCCAGCAUACAUCUGGUACCCCAUGCUAAUAAUUUCAACAUUGCUCAAUAAGGUUUCA